AUACUGGCAAAAAGUUAUGGAAUUCAAGUUGAUUCGUCCAACCGUUCUCGAAUACCACGCGAAAAAAUUCUACGAAAAGCACGCAAAAAUGCUUGUGAGGCUAUAACUCUGCAACGGUUGGGCGUAUUGAGACAAAACUUGGUGUGUGUUAUAACAAGCAUGACCUGAGACUACGUGCAGUGAUUCGACGCAGCGCCACCUAGUGGUCAGGAGAUAUGAAAAAUGCAUAUUUUUGCUUAUAACUUCUGAAUGGUUUGGCCAAAAAUAUCAAAACUGGUCUCAUUAGAUUCGGUGGGUCAAGUCAAGUCGAAUGAUAUCCAAUUUUCCCGUGUCGGCCAUUUUGAAUUAUGUUUCAAAAUGCUGUAUUUUUUGAACGCAUUAUCGUAUCGCUACGAAAAUAAUUACAAAAAUGUUUGGCUCCAUGCCCUGAAGCUACUCAAAAAGUUUGGUGGCAGCGCCACCUUGUGGUCAAAAGUUAUAAUGAAAUAUCUUAAACAUGCUAAUAACUUUUGAAAAAAUUAGACUAUUGCAAUGAAAGUCAUGUCGCUAUAUUCUUUGGGUCAUGCCGAGAACAUCGAUACCAAUUAUUCCAAAAGUGGCCAUACUUCCUGUCCGCCAUUUU
ensembl:lncRNA